rnacentral:lncRNA from 1 species
CUUACAGAAAUUAAUUACCAUAAAAAUAUAAUUUGUAGUAAUUAAUAAUUCCAAAAUUAUUUCUAAUUUUUCAAGUAAUAAAUAUAUUCAUAUUUAUCGUUCACAUUACUAGACACUUAUUCUCGUCAUUCAAUAAAUAAAAAAAAAUUAUACGCAAAAUUUCUUAUUUAUUUUAUAUAGAAAAUCUCGGGUUAUUACAUUCACCCUCCCUUAUAAGGAUUCCGUCCCCGGAAUCACCGCUUUAAAAACUCAUAUGUAGAAGGGUACAUAGCAUAUAAUCAUUG